UACGUAGGGGCUAGCGUUAUCCGGAUUUACUGGGCGUAAAGGGUGCGUAGGCGGUCUUUCAAGUCAGGAGUGAAAGGCUACGGCUCAACCGUAGUAAGCUCUUGAAACUGUAAGACUUGAGUGCAGGAGAGGAGAGUGGAAUUCCUAGUGUAGCGGUGAAAUGCGUAGAUAUUAGGAGGAACACCAGUUGCGAAGGCGAUUCUCUGGACUGUAACUGACGCUGAGGCUCGAAAGCGUGGGGAGCAAACAGGAUUAGAUACCCCUGUAGU
rnacentral:rRNA from 1 species